CAAUAGCGUAUAUUAAAGUUGUUGCGGUUAAAAGCUCGUAGUUGGAUUUCUGCCGAGGACGACCGGUCCGCCCUCUGGGUGAGCAUCUGGAUCGGCCUGGGCAUCUUCUUGGGGAACGUAGCUGCACUUGACUGUGUGGUGCGGUAUCCAGGACUUUUACUUUGAGGAAAUUAGAGUGUUUCAAGCAGGCUUCCGCCUUGAAUACAUUAGCAUGGAAUAAUAAGAUAGGACCUCGGUUCUAUUUUGUUGGUUUCUAGAGCUGAGGUAAUGAUUAAUAGGGACAGUUGGGGGCAUUCAUAUUCCAUUGUCAGAGGUGAAAUUCUUGGAUUAACGGAAGAUGAACUUCUGCGAAAGCAUCUGCCAAGGAUGUUUUCAUUGAUCAAGAACGAAAGUUAGGGGAUCGAAGAUGAUUAGAUACCAU
rnacentral:rRNA from 1 species